UCACUGUGUGUUAUAUGUGUCGACACGGGACUGCCGGUUUUAAGCCGGAGGAAGGUGGGGAUGACGUCAAGUCAGCAUGGCCUUUAUAUCCUGGGCUACACACACGCUACAAUGGUCGGUACAAUAGGUUGCCAAGCCGCGAGGCGGAGCCAAUCCAAAAAAGCCGGCCUCAGUUCAGAUUGUAGGCUGCAACUCGCCUGCAUGAAGAUGGAGUUGCUAGUAACCGCAGGUCAGCAAUACUGCGGUGAAUACGUUCCCGGGUCUU
rnacentral:rRNA from 1 species